UACAUCGAACAAACUUUAAGAAAGAUGCGGCUUUUAACGCCUUGAUCUCAUUGUGAAUAUCGCCGGAGUUUAUGAGAUAUCUGAAAUGCCUCUUCAAGAAAAUAUGUUAUACCCUUUAUGUAGUUGUAAGUCGGAUUUAGAAUAUUGUAGCCUUCAAGAACUUAUUAGGAUUGGGCUCGUCUCGUAAAAUCCCUGAAAAGUCAAUGUCUACACUAAUAAAUAAAAAAACUAUAAUACAAAGAUCUAUAAAUUAAAUCCUCCUAAAAGCAGUGACAUAUUCACAUACUACACUAUGAAGGGUUUCAUUUCUAGCAUGGUGUUGUUAAAGAUUUGCUUCAUAUUCACUAUUCUUCUCAUGGCACCCAAUGUCAGCGCGAGAUGGAAUAUAGAUCCAAAAAUCUCAGGAUUCGGAAGGAGAUUACUACCACAAGUUACAAAUGACUCGCGAGCCAAUCCUAAGGUUAUGAGUUCGAGUGUCAAUGAAGCAAAACGACUGAAAAUUCCAGGGUGGGGUUAAAAAAAGUUAUUUGGUUUAUCUUGAUCAAAUGACAAUAUAUGCACUAGACAACAAAUGAGUAUUUGUCUCGUAUGUGUUUCAUUUUAUUUGUCUUUAGUGUUUCGUUUGGUAAGAAUAAUAAUGAACAAAUUCAAACAUAUAAAUUUUUUAGUGUUUCUAUUAUUGAAUGAAAAGGAAUAACAAGUGUUGACUAAAUAUGUUUUAAUUCCAAAUAAGUUGGGCUCGAUCAUAUGAGUCAUCGUUGUUCAUGUCA